rnacentral:lncRNA from 1 species
CUCCAAAAUCUCUUUCUCUCUUCCUCUUCCAUUUCCACAACAAAGACACAAUCUCUCUCUCUCUCUCUUUGUGUAAUAAUAAUAAUAAUAAUCCUCCCCAGAAAACCAUUUCCCUGAUAUUUCUUUCUUUCUUUCCUCCUAAAUCUUUUUUCUCUUUCACCACUGAUAGUUAUCCCUCAUCGAUUUUUUAGCUCUCAAAAUAAGAAAAACUAGAGAGAGAGAACCAAACCAGAGCAAUCUCAUAGGACGAGAAGAUACCUUCUGACAGGUCCGUGUUUGGUUUCCUUCUUCUUCUUCUUCUUCUUGUAUGGUUGGUUCUUCAGAUGAUAUGAGAUCUUGUAGUAAAAUUUUGACGAAUUCUUUGUACUUGCAUUUUCUCUCAAGCAAAGAUCUGUUCUUUAUCACUGUGUUCAAUUCAAAUAACCACAAUCUUGUCUUUUCUUAUAUCUGAUUGAGAUUGUUUUCUUCUUCUUGAUUGUGUUGUAUCUACAGGAAGGAGCCAAUAUCAGUUUUAACCAGCCCUUGUAUAAGAGUGAUUCCCUUUUUUUCAUAGAAAGAACUCUCGAUUUACUGUAUUAGAGUAGAUCAAGAACCAUUCUCUCUAGAUGACAUCGCCUACUUCAUCUGAGAGGUGGACCGAUGGUCUUCAGUUCUCUUCCUUGUUAUGGUCUCCCCCACGAGAUCCUCAACAACAUAAGGUACUUAACAAUAAUAAAUAAAGCCUCAGAUGUCUCAUCCAUGAACCGGUGCUGAUUGUCUUUCUCCUUAGGAUCAAGUCGUUGCUUAUGUCGAAUACUUUGGUCAGUUCACAUCAGAGCAAUUCCCUGAUGAUAUUGCUGAGGUACUUGUUCGUGUUCUUAUGUUGCCUUAUGAGUAGUAGUGGUGAUAUACUGAUUUUACAAAUAUUUGUGUAUCAGUUGGUCCGUAAUCAGUAUCCGUCAACUGAGAAGCGCCUUUUGGAUGAUGUGUUGGGUAUGUGUGAGCUUCUCUAUCAAACACUUUAUGAUCCACGCUUCUUUGUUUUGAAUGUUCAUAUCUGAUUCUCUGGCUUGUUGUUGAAAACAACAGCUAUGUUUGUCCUCCAUCAUCCUGAGCAUGGUCAUGCGGUCAUCCUUCCGAUUAUCUCAUGUCUCAUCGAUGGCACCCUAGUGUACAGCAAGGAAGCUCAUCCCUUCGCCUCUUUCAUUUCUUUAGUUUCCCCAACCAGUGAGGUAAAUAAGUUUCUCAACACUGUCUUUCAUGGAAACUCUUUUUUUUUUUUUAAUGCUGACGUACAUGCGUGUUCACAAUCCUUUACAGAAUGACUAUUCAGAGCAAUGGGCUUUGGCGUGCGGAGAAAUCCUCCGCAUUUUGACUCAUUACAACCGUCCCAUAUACAAGACGGAGCAGCAAAAUGGAGAAACGGAGAGCAAAGCUUCAACUAGUGGGUCUCCUACGCUUUCAGAGACUAAGGCUGUAUCGCCAGGACAGCAUGAAAGGAAACCGCUAAGGCCUUUGUCUCCAUGGAUCAGUGAUAUACUACUCGCUGCUCCCCUUGGUAUCAGAAGUGACUACUUUCGUUGGUAAGUAGAUUCUGUUACUUUGAUUUGUACUGUGCUUAAGCUUCAACUAAUAGUAAUUGUUUGUUUAUAUCUACAGGUGUAGUGGUGUUAUGGGUAAAUACGCUGCUGGAGAGCUCAAGCCACCUACCAUUGGUGAGUUUCCAUCACCUGUGACUAUUAGAAUGGGGUUUUGAGUUGCGUCUUAUAAUUACUUUCCUACUUUUUGCAGCUACUCGAGGAUCUGGUAAACAUCCUCAAUAUAUGCCUUCCACGCCAAGAUGGGCGGUUGCUAAUGGAGCUGGUGUCAUACUGAGUGUUUGUGAUGACGAAGUUGCUCGGUAUGAGACUGCUACGUUAACAGCCGUUGCUGUCCCUGCACUUCUCCUUCCUCCCCCAACGACAUCCUUAGAUGAGCAUUUAGUUGCUGGCCUUCCAGCUCUUGAGCCAUAUGCUCGUUUGUUUCACAGGUAGUGUUUCUGAACACAUCCUUGUGCUUCCUGGAGUCAUAUUUUGUUCUCACUCUCUUGUUCAACUGUCAGAUAUUAUGCGAUUGCAACUCCAAGUGCUACUCAGAGACUUCUUCUUGGACUCUUGGAAGCACCUCCGUCUUGGGCUCCAGAUGCACUUGAUGCUGCUGUACAGCUUGUGGAGCUCCUUCGAGCUGCUGAAGAUUAUGCAUCUGGUGUAAGGGUAAGCGUAAUAAGAAUCCUUUAAUCACUCUCAAGAAAGAUGAUUGUGUCCCUUCUUCUCCACUUUGAAACUUCAUCAUCAGCUUUGAUAUGUCAUUAAAAAGGAUCAACUCUGAUCACACACUCUCUUUUUCUUUGAUGUAGCUACCAAGGAACUGGAUGCAUUUGCACUUCUUGCGUGCAAUAGGAAUCGCCAUGUCUAUGAGAGCAGGCGUUGCUGCUGACGCUGCAGCCGCUUUGCUUUUCCGCAUACUCUCGCAGCCAGCACUGCUUUUUCCUCCGCUAAGCCAAGCUGAGGGAGUAGAAAUCAAACACGCCCCUAUUGGUGGCUACGGUUCAAAUUACAGAAAGCAGAUAGAAGUUCCUGCAGCAGAAGCAACCAUUGAAGCCACUGCUCAAGGAAUAGCCUCAAUGCUUUGCGCUCACGGUCCUGAAGUGGAGUGGAGGAUCUGCACUAUAUGGGAAGCUGCCUAUGGAUUGAUCCCUUUAAACUCCUCAGCCGUUGAUCUCCCUGAGAUCAUUGUCGCCACCCCACUGCAACCUCCCAUCUUGUCAUGGAACCUAUACAUCCCACUCCUCAAAGUACUCGAGUAUCUUCCACGUGGGAGUCCUUCCGAAGCAUGCUUGAUGAAGAUAUUCGUCGCCACGGUGGAAACAAUCCUCAGCAGAACUUUCCCGCCAGAGACUUCUAUAAAGAAAGCUAGAGCGAGUUUAGCCACGAGAUCAUCAGCGACCAAAAACCUCGCUAUGGCUGAGCUUCGUGCUAUGGUCCAUGCUCUCUUCUUGGAAUCAUGCGCUGGCGUGGAGAUAGCUUCGCGCCUGCUUUUCGUUGUGUUGACUGUUUGUGUUAGCCAUGAAGCGCAGUCUAGUGGGAGCAAGAGACGGAGAAGCGAAGAAGAUGCUACUGCAGAGGAGAAUCAAGACAAUCAAACUAGUAACCGUAAGAGUAGGAACGUCAAGGGACAAGGACCUGUGGCGGCGUUUGAUUCGUACGUUCUCGCUGCUGUAAUAAAGCCUCAGAUGUUUCAUCCAUGAACCGGUGCUGAUUGUCUUUCUCCUUAGGAUCAAGUCGUUGCUUAUGUCGAAUACUUUGGUCAGUUCACAUCAGAGCAAUUCCCUGAUGAUAUUGCUGAGGUACUUGUUCGUGUGUUUAUGUUGCCUUAUGAUUAGUCGUGAUUAUAUAUAUAUACUGAUGUACAAAUAUUUAUGUAUCAGUUGGUCCGUAAUCAGUAUCCAUCAACUGAGAAGCGGCUUUUGGAUGAUGUGUUGGGUAUGUGUGUGAGCUUCUCUAUCAAACACUUUAUGAUCCACGCUUCUUUGUUUUGAAUGUUUAUAUCUGAUUCUCUGUCUUGUUCAUGAAAACAACAGCUAUGUUUGUCCUCCAUCAUCCGGAGCAUGGUCAUGCUGUCAUCCUUCCGAUUAUCUCAUGUCUCAUCGAUGGCACCCUAGUGUACAGCAAGGAAGCUCAUCCCUUCGCCUCUUUCAUUUCUUUAGUUUCCCCAAAUAGUGAGGUAAAUAGUUUCUCAACACUGUCUUUCAUGGAAACUCUUUUUGGUAUGCUGACAAACAUGUGUGUUCACAAUCCUCUACAGAAUGACUAUUCAGAGCAAUGGGCUUUGGCGUGCGGAGAAAUCCUACGCAUCUUGACUCAUUACAACCGUCCCAUUUACAAGACGGAGCAGCAAAAUGGAGAAACGGAGAGCAAAGCUUCUACUAGUGGGUCUCCUACGCUUUCAGAGGCUAAGGCUGUAUCACCAGGACAGCAUGAAAGGAAACCGCUAAGGCCUUUGUCUCCAUGGAUCAGUGAUAUACUACUCGCUGCUCCCCUUGGUAUUAGAAGUGACUACUUUCGUUGGUAAGUAGAUUCUGUUACUUUGAUUUGUACUGUGCUUAAGCUUCAACUUAUAAUAAUUGUUUGUUUGUAUAUACAGGUGUAGUGGUGUUAUGGGUAAAUAUGCUGCUGGAGAGCUCAAGCCACCUACUAUUGGUGAGUUUCCAUCACCUCUGGCUACUACAAUGGGUUGUGAGUUACGUCUUAUAACACUUCUCUUAUUUUGCAGCUACUCGAGGAUCUGGUAAACAUCCUCAAUAUAUGCCUUCCACGCCAAGAUGGGCGGUUGCUAAUGGAGCUGGUGUCAUACUGAGUGUUUGUGAUGAUGAAGUUGCUCGGUACGAGACUGCUACGUUAACAGCGGUUGCUGUCCCUGCACUUCUCCUUCCUCCCCCAACGACAUCCUUAGAUGAGCAUUUAGUUGCUGGCCUUCCAGCUCUUGAGCCUUAUGCACGUUUGUUUCACAGGUAGUGUUUCUGAACACAUCCUUGUGCUUCCUGGAGUCAUAUGUUGUUCUCACUCUCUUGUUCUACUGUCAGAUAUUAUGCGAUUGCAACUCCAAGUGCUACUCAGAGACUUCUUCUUGGACUCUUGGAAGCACCACCGUCUUGGGCUCCAGAUGCACUUGAUGCUGCUGUACAGCUUGUGGAGCUUCUCCGAGCUGCUGAGGAUUAUGCAUCUGGUGUAAGGGUAAGCAUUUGGCUCCUACGAAAUAACUUUUGAUAUGUUAUUAAAAAAGGAUCAGCUCUGAUCACACACUCUCUCUUUUCUUUGAUGUAGCUACCAAGGAACUGGAUGCAUUUGCACUUCUUGCGUGCAAUAGGAAUCGCCAUGUCUAUGAGGGCAGGCGUUGCUGCUGACGCUGCAGCCGCUUUGCUUUUCCGCAUACUCUCGCAGCCGGCACUGCUUUUUCCUCCGCUAAGCCAAGCUGAGGGAGUAGAAAUCAAACACGCUCCUAUUGGUGGCUACGGUUCAAAUUACAGAAAGCAGAUAGAAGUUCCUGCAGCAGAAGCAACCAUUGAAGCCACUGCACAAGGAAUAGCCUCAAUGCUUUGUGCUCACGGACCUGAAGUGGAGUGGAGGAUCUGCACUAUAUGGGAAGCUGCCUAUGGAUUGAUCCCUUUAAACUCCUCAGCCGUUGAUCUCCCUGAGAUCAUUGUCGCCACCCCACUGCAACCUCCCAUCUUGUCAUGGAACCUAUACAUCCCACUCCUCAAAGUACUCGAGUAUCUUCCACGUGGGAGUCCUUCCGAAGCAUGCUUGAUGAAGAUAUUCGUCGCCACGGUGGAAACAAUCCUCAGCAGAACUUUCCCGCCAGAGACUUCUAUAAAGAAAGCUAGAGCGAGUUUAGCCACGAGAUCAUCAGCGACCAAAAACCUCGCUAUGGCUGAGCUUCGUGCUAUGGUCCAUGCUCUCUUCUUGGAAUCAUGCGCUGGCGUGGAGAUAGCUUCGCGCCUGCUUUUCGUUGUGUUGACUGUUUGUGUUAGCCAUGAAGCGCAGUCUAGUGGGAGCAAGAGACGGAGAAGC